CUGGCGGCGUGCCUAAUACAUGCAAGUCGAACGGUCUUUCUAUGGAAGCUGCUUCCACUGAGAAGAUAGUGGCGAACGGGCGAGUAACACGUGGGUAACCUGCCCAUAAGAGGGGGGAUAACAUCCGGAAACGGGUGCUAAUACCGCAUAGUUUUCUUGAUCGCAUGAUCGGGAAAGGAAAGACGGCCUUUGUGCUGUCGCUUAUGGAUGGACCCGCGGCGUAUUAGUUAGUUGGUGAGGUAACGGCUCACCAAGACGAUGAUACGUAGCCGACCUGAGAGGGUGAUCGGCCACAUUGGGACUGAGACACGGCCCAAACUCCUACGGGAGGCAGCAGUAGGGAAUCUUCCGCAAUGGACGAAAGUCUGACGGAGCAACGCCGCGUGAGUGAAGAAAAGGUUUUCGGAUCGUAAAACUCUGUUGUCAGAGAAGAACAAGUUGGAGAGUAACUGCUCCAGCCUUGACGGUAUCUGACCAGAAAGCCACGGCUAACUACGUGCCAGCAGCCGC
rnacentral:rRNA from 1 species